AUUUAAAUAGUUUAAUUUUAAAAAUUUUGAUUUGUGGAAUCAAUAAUAUCAAUUAUAAAUAUUGAUUUUAAAUU
rnacentral:tRNA from 1 species